rnacentral:rRNA from 1 species
UACAGAGGGUGCAAGCGUUGUUCGGAAUUAUUGGGCGUAAAGCGCGUGUAGGCGGCUUUGCAAGUCGGGUGUGAAAGCCCUCAGCUCAACUGAGGAAGUGCGCCCGAAACUGCAGAGCUUGAGUACCGGAGAGGAUGGCGGAAUUCCCCAAGUAGAGGUGAAAUUCGUAGAUAUGGGGAGGAACACCGGUGGCGAAGGCGGCCACCUGGGUCGAUACUGACGCUGAGGUGCGAAAGCGUGGGGAGCAAACAGG